rnacentral:rRNA from 1 species
AUUGAACGCUGGCGGAAUGCUUUACACAUGCAAGUCGAACGGCAGCACGGACUUCGGUCUGGUGGCGAGUGGCGAACGGGUGAGUAAUGUAUCGGAACGUGCCCAGUCGUGGGGGAUAAGGUAGUGAAAAUUACGCUAAUACGGCAUACGAUCUAUGGAUGAAAGCGGGGGAUCGCAAGAACUCGAGCGAUUGGAGCGGCCGAUAUCCGAUUAGGUAGUUGGUGGGGUAAAGGCCCACCAAGCCAACGAUCUGUAGCUGGUCGGAGAGGACGACCAGCCACACUGGAACUGAGACACGGUCCAGACUCCUACGGGAGGCAGCAGUGGGGAAUUUUGGACAAUGGGCGAAAGCCUGAUCCAGCCAUUCCGCGUGCAGGAUGAAGGCCCUCGGGUUGUAAACUGCUUUUGUACAGAACGAAAAGGUUUCUACUAAUACUAGGAGCUCAUGACGGUACUGUAAGAAUAAGCACCGGCUAACUACGUGCCAGCCGCCGCAGUAA